AGGUGGAUACUCGGUAGAAGCGUC
rnacentral:siRNA from 1 species